rnacentral:misc_RNA from 1 species
GAACGCACCUUGCGCCCCUUGGUAUUCCGAGGGGCAUGCCUGUUCGAGCGUCAUUAUAACCCCUCAAGCUCAGCUUGGUAUUGGGGCCUGCCAUCCUGGCAGCCCUUAAAAUCAGUGGCGGUGCCAUCCGGCUCUAAGCGUAGUAACUCUUCUCGCUAUGGAGUCCUGGUGGAUGCUUGCCAUUAAUCUUUUAACUUCUAUGGUUGACCUCGGAUCAGGUAGGGAUACCCGCUGAACUUAAG